GUAACGCGUGAGAAUCUGCCUUCAGGACGGGAACAACAGCUGGAAACGGCUGCUAAUACCCGAUGUGCCGAGAGGUGAAAAGAUUUAUCGCCUGAGGAUGAGCUCGCGUCUGAUUAGCUAGUUGGUAGGGUAAGAGCCUACCAAGGCGACGAUCAGUAGCUGGUCUGAGAGGAUGAUCAGCCACACUGGGACUGAGACACGGCCCAGACUCCUACGGGAGGCAGCAGUGGGGAAUUUUCCGCAAUGGGCGCAAGCCUGACGGAGCAAGACCGCGUGCGGGAUGAAGGUCUGUGGACUGUAAACCGCUUUUGAUAGGGAAGAAGACAGUGACGGUACCUAUCGAAUCAGCCUCGGCUAACUCCGUGCCAGCAGCCGCGGUAAUACGGAGGAGGCAAGCGUUAUCCGGAAUUAUUGGGCGUAAAGCGUCCGUAGGUGGUGAUGCAAGUCUAUUGUCAAAGCGUGAGGCUUAACCUCAUACCGGCAGUGGAAACUGCAUUGCUAGAGUGCGAUAGGGGCAAGGGGAAUUCCCAGUGUAGCGGUGAAAUGCGUAGAUAUUGGGAAGAACAUCGGUGGCGAAAGCGCCUUGCUGGGUCUGCACUGACAUUGAGGGACGAAA
rnacentral:rRNA from 1 species